GACGAACGCUGGCGGCGUGCUUAACACAUGCAAGUCGAACGGAAAGGCCCUGCUUUUGUGGGGUGCUCGAGUGGCGAACGGGUGAGUAACACGUGAGUAACCUGCCCUUGACUUUGGGAUAACUUCAGGAAACUGGGGCUAAUACCGGAUAGGAGCUCCUGCUGCAUGGUGGGGGUUGGAAAGUUUCGGCGGUUGGGGAUGGACUCGCGGCUUAUCAGCUUGUUGGUGGGGUAGUGGCUUACCAAGGCUUUGACGGGUAGCCGGCCUGAGAGGGUGACCGGCAACAUUGGGACUGAGAUGCGGCCCAGACUCCUACGGGAGGCAGCCGUGGGGAAUAUUGCACAAUGGGCGGAAGCCUGAUGCAGCAACGCCGCGUGCGGGAUGACGGCCUUCGGGUUGUAAACCGCUUUCGCCUGUGACGAAGCGUGAGUGACGGUAAUGGGUAAAGAAGCACCGGCUAACUACGUG
rnacentral:rRNA from 1 species